rnacentral:tRNA from 1 species
GUAGUAAAAGCUAAAAAGAAGCGCUGGUCUUGUAAGUCAGAUAUUGGGACUUUUUAUCCCUUACUUCU